GAUGAACGCUGGCGGCGUGCCUAAUACAUGCAAGUCGAGCGAACGGACGAGAAGCUUGCUUCUCUGAUUUUAGCGGCGGACGGGUGAGUAACACGUGGAUAACCUACCUAUAAGACUGGGAUAACUUCGGGAAACCGGAGCUAAUACCGGAUAAUAUUUUGAACCGCAUGGUUCAAAAGUGAAAGACGGUCUUGCUUUCACUUAUAGAUUGAUCCGCGCUGCAUUAGCUAGUUGGUAAGGUAACGGCUUACCAAGGCAACGAUGCAUAGCCGACCUGAGAGGGUGAUCGGCCACACUGGAACUGAGAAACGGUCCAGACUCCUACGGGAGGAAGCAGUAGGGAAUCUUACGCAAUGGGCGAAAGCCUGACGGAGCAACGCCGCGUGAGUGAUGAAGGUCUUAGGAUCGUAAAACUCUGUUAUUAGGGAAGAACAUAUGUGUAAGUAACUGUGCACAUCUUGACGGUACCUAAUCAGAAAGCCACGGCUAACUACGUG
rnacentral:rRNA from 1 species